CGAGAAACUAGUGAAGUACAUUAACAGAACACAGACCUAAAACGUCAUUCCUUAAUACAUGCAUAUGUAAUUUUUGUUAUGUUCUGUUAUUUUUCAUUUACAUUGUCUACAGUGAUCUCCUUCAAAGCCUGACUUACAAGAAUCGCAUGACCCAUUCCAAAUAUCACAUAUUCCAUUGUGGCAAUUGACUGGACAUUUUGAUUCACACUGCGGUCCAUAAAGUCCUAUGAAACAACC
rnacentral:lncRNA from 1 species